UACGUAGGGUGCAAGCGUUGUCCGGAAUUAUUGGGCGUAAAGAGCUCGUAGGCGGUUUGUCGCGUCUGCUGUGAAAACUCGGGGCUUAACUCCGGGCCUGCAGUGGGUACGGGCAGACUAGAGUGCGGUAGGGGAGACUGGAAUUCCUGGUGUAGCGGUGAAAUGCGCAGAUAUCAGGAGGAACACCGAUGGCGAAGGCAGGUCUCUGGGCUGACACUGACGCUGAGGAGCGAAAGCGUGGGGAGCAAACAGG
rnacentral:rRNA from 1 species